UUGCACGCUGGCGGCAGGCCUCACACAUGCAGGUCGAGCGGAUGAAGGGAGCUUGCUCCUGGAUUCAGCGGCGGACGGGUGAGUAAUGCCUAGGAAUCUGCCUGGUAGUGGGGGAUAACGUCCGGAAACGGGCGCUAAUACCGCAUACGUCCUGAGGGAGAAAGUGGGGGAUCUUCGGACCUCACGCUAUCAGAUGAGCCUAGGUCGGAUUAGCUAGUUGGUGGGGUAAAGGCCUACCAAGGCGACGAUCCGUAACUGGUCUGAGAGGAUGAUCAGUCACACUGGAACUGAGACACGGUCCAGACUCCUACGGGAGGCAGCAGUGGGGAAUAUUGGACAAUGGGCGAAAGCCUGAUCCAGCCAUGCCGCGUGUGUGAAGAAGGUCUUCGGAUUGUAAAGCACUUUAAGUUGGGAGGAAGGGCAGUAAGUUAAUACCUUGCUGUUUUGACGUUACCAACAGAAUAAGCACCGGCUAACUUCGUG
rnacentral:rRNA from 1 species